ACUGCUGCUGCCUACCAGCGCUGCUGGGGCCAGUCUCCAUGGAAACCCUGACCCCGCACUAUCACAGCGUGGCUGCUGCUGGGGCCUCCGUGGAAACCGGCCCCAGCCGCAUGGGCAAGGGCUGCUAGGAAAUGGAGUCCAGAAGUUGUCCAGAGCUGC